rnacentral:rRNA from 1 species
AGAGAGAGACAUGCGCGCAUAUCAAUAAGCGGAGGAAAAGAAACUAACUAGGAUUCCCUCAGUAACGGCGAGUGAAGCGGGAAGAGCUCAAAUUUGAAAUCUUCAAGGUUCUACCUUGACGAAUUGUAGUUUAAAGAAGUGUUUUCUGUUGGAGUUUUGGUAAAAGUUCUUUGGAAUAGGACAUCAUAGAGGGUGAGAAUCCCGUAUUUGACCAUUAUUUCCAGCUUUGUGAUACACUUUCAAAGAGUCGGAUUGUUUGGGAAUGCAGUCCAAAAUGGGUGGUAAAUUUCAUCUAAAGCUAAAUAUUGGCGAGAGACCGAUAGCGAACAAGUACCGUGAGGGAAAGAUGAAAAGAACUUUGAAAAGAGAGUUAAACAGUACGUGAAAUUGUCAAAAGGGAAGCGUUUGACACCAGUGUUGUUUUCUCGAAAAUCAAUUAAAAAAGGCAGGAUUUUGUGUUGUAUUGACUUUAUCAGCUUUCUGCACUCUUUUCUUGUCUUUUUUAAUGCACUUUUCGUUUAACAAGUCAACAUCAAUUUCUUUUGUUGUAAAAGGGUCAUUGGAAGGUGGCUUUCUUUUCGGAGAAAGCUGUUUAUAGCCUUUGCCUCUGCAAUCGGAGAGAUUGAGGUCUGCAGCGUAGAUCCUUCGGGGUUAGAUACAUUUGUGCUAAGUUAUAGCCUUUUCAUAGACAACUUGUUGACUAUGAUCAGUCAUGUAGCUUACUCGCUUAUGCUAUUUUACCUACGCUUAGGAUGUUGAUGUGAUACUGCGAGCA